rnacentral:rRNA from 1 species
AACGUAGGAGACGAACGUUAUCCGGAGUUACUGGGCGUAAAGGGCGUGCAGGCGGUCUGAUAAGUUCGGCGUGAAAUAUUCCGGCUUAACCGGGAUAGGUCGUCGGAGACUGUCGGACUAGAGGUGAUAGAGGCGUGUGGAAUUCCGGGUGUAGUGGUGAAAUGCGUAGAGAUCCGGAGGAACACCAGUGGCGAAGGCGACACGCUGGGUCACACCUGACGGCUAAAGCGCGACAGCAUGGGGAGCGAACGGG